CAUGAAGGCAACAGGAGUGGCAACUGCUCAGAAGUUCUUCAGGAGGUGGAAGAUGACUGAGGGCACAGGAUUAAUCUUGGAGAGGUAGAGCCAAACUACCACUGCCACCGGAAGGAAGAUGACUAGACAUGGAGGCGGGUAACAAUCGCUACACUUUAUGCUCUUUAAGCAUCUGGAACCGUGCGUACUUUUUUUAACCCUCACAACAAAUCUUCAGGUAGUACAUCACCCCACCAGUCCGGAGAUAGUGGCGCGAGGGGGCGGGGCCUCGGCUCUGAUAGGCUCCCUCCUUGCUCGGAGCCCUGCCCAGCCCCCCGGUGGCGGAGAGUGCCCGCUUCCGUGUGGGCGGGUCGUGGAGGGGCGUGCUACCCAGGGAUGGACGGUUCUAGAUGCAGCCCCUAACCAUCUUGAACCGGGUUCGGCAAGGAAGCAGGAGGAGUGAAGACUGCAUUUCCUGAAGGAGGUGUACCGGAGCGGGGAACAUGGACGUGAACAGUGCUGGCUAGGUGACGCAUGCGCGCUGCGGCGGGACGGUGGCGGCGCCGACUCCAGCACGCCGGCUCCCAGGGCUGCGGGGCGGGGCGUUUCUCCCUCGAUUGUAAGCUCCUUGAGGAUGAGAACUGAGUUUUGACUCCCUGUAUAGCCCCAGUAUCUGGUACAUGUUACAGAGGCCUGUUACGAAGCACACGUUUCCAGCUUGUUCCAGUGUCUGGGUCCAACGAUUUUCCCUUUCCUUCCUCCAAUUAGCCACAAGAUGGCAGCCUAAGCCACGCUGGUACUUAAUUUCCUGUGAGGAAGAAGUGGUGCUUUGGGUUAAAAUGCCCUUCUCUGAGCCAGAAGAGGAUCCCUUUGAAGUGAGAUUAAGUCACACAUUACAGAAGAUUUCUCUGAAAAUGUCCUCUGCAUCUUCUCUUCUUCAUUGACUCUGAGGAACAAUCUGGAAUACUAACAAGCAAGACAAAGGAGAGAUUUUCUUCUCCUUGCCUGAGGGGCCGUUGGGCUAUUUAGAAAACAGUUCUAGGGAGAGCACGGAGCUCUGAGCUCUGGGAAACAAGGACACCGGGGUGCGGUGGGGGUGUGGGGGGGAGUAUUUACUGACCCCCUCGUCACACUGUUUUGUGUAAACUGUGAGUUCUAGAGGUAAGGUCUAGAGCAGGGGGUCAGCAAACUAUGGCCCUAGGGCCAAAUCUGGGGCUCUGCUUGAUUUCGUAAAUAAAUUUACUUGGAACGCAGCCAUGACCAUUUGUUGACAUGUCGUCAGUCUUUUGCACAACUGUGAAUAGUUGUGACAGAGACCAUUUGGUCUGUAAAGCCAAAAGUAUUUACUAUCUGGUCCUUUCAGACAAAAUUUGGGCCAUGUGGUCUAGAGAGAUGUGAACUUUUUAGAAGACUUAGUAUUUGGUUAGCAUAUUUUGGGGAAAUAAUAUCUGGUUACCUUUUUGGGGAAAGACCUGUCUUUCUUUCCAAGAAGCAAACAUUCUGAGUGGAAAUGAUAUGGAUUCCUUGACGUUUCUUAGAGUUGUACCCGUAUGAGGCAGAAUUAUAUUUAUUAAUUCAUUUCAGGAAUUACGCAUUUAAGUAUACUGUAGCUUUUCUUUGUUAAGUAGAAAAUAUGGGUAUACCUGAGGUAAAUUCCUCGUCGUUUCUUAGCAUGCUUUCCCGUAGCAGGGCUGCGAAGUCACUCUUAUACUAAUUCCUUCAUUGGUCAAGAUACCCACCAACGGCCCCAUAGCCACUUACCUUUCAUUCAAGAAAUGUUCUUGAUGUGGAUGGUGUGGCUUAUUUAUGGGUUUGUAAGUGCUCAGACAUUGCUGAGUCAGAAUCACGUUAAUUUGUUUUGCAAGUUUUAAACAAAUACAUUUUCUGCAGAUUCUCUUCCUGACAAAGCAUUUUGGGUCAAGAUAGUAUACAUUCCUUACAGUUUCUUAGUGUUCUUAUGCUUACAAAAAGAGACAAAUCAAACUUAUUAUUUUUGCGCAUACACGGAUCAGAGAUUAACUGGCCCUUGCUGGAUCCGCUUAGUUGAAGCAGAUGAUUGCGGGCGGAAGGUCUGUUUUUGGCAAGACCUGCAGAAAGAAGCUGCCGGAAGGGAAAAUUCUCAGCUUGGGAGUCCUGAUGGGGAACAAAGCAGGUAUAAAGAGAAAAGAGAGUCCACCCGACUCUCAACUGUACCUUUUCUGUGGAAAGUUUUUCAGGCAGGUAGGGGAAAUUCUUCUGUAUGUUCCAAGGUAGUUAUGGAAUAGGGUUUCCCAUCUACCUAAGAAGGGAAUUGGGCAUGGGAGGCUGUCAGAGUCGUAUACUGUAUCCCGUCUUCUUGGAAUCCUCUCCAGAUUAUUGUAGUUAAAUUUAUUUGAAAAAUAGUAUAUGUUAUUUUCAAAACAUCCUUUUUUCCUUGCAUCCUCUAGCCAUUAUUAUUUAUUUACUUAUUUUUUUGAGGCAGAUUACCUCCGAGCUAACAUCUGCUGCCAAUCCUCCUCUUUUUGCUGAGGAAGACUGGCCCUGAGCUAACAUCCCUACCCAUCUUCCUCUACUUUGUAUGUGGGACGCCUGCCACAGCAUGGCUUGCCAAGUGGUGUCAUGUCCAUACCCGGGAUCCGAACCGGCGAACCGCAAGCCGCCAAAGGGGAACGUGUGCACUUAACCGCUGUGCCACGGGGCCAGCCCCUAGCCAUAAUUAUUUAUAUGAUUUAUAUUUAAAGAAUUCAGUGUUUUACUUCAUUUCUUUGCUGUUCUAGAGUUCUUAAUGUAGAUGUGUGCUUCAAUGUGCCAAUUUCUUCAAGCACUUUUAACAAUGAAGGUAUGUGUUCUAUGUUCUAUGUAUAUAUCUGCGCCCUUGCAUGUGUGAGAAUAUAUUUUUGACUCACAACCGUUUUCUUGAAAAAAUACUAUAAUUAAGUGUUGAAGGAUACUUUAAAAAGAUAUGGAAUCAUGACUCUCAUACAAAUAUAAAAUGAACAUGUGUCAAAGAUGGGAGAACCAGUAAGAUGUUACAGUUGACACAAAGGGAAAUUCACAGAACCACACAUUAUGUAGGCAAAUAAGGAAUGUUGGAAUGAAUUUAUAAAUAGGUGUAAAACAUGAGGCAGUAAUCGAUUAUAUUCCGCGGGACACAAUGAAAUUGCGUUUUCAUGGGCAAGAAUAAUUUAUAUGAUUCUCCAUUUUCUGCAACUUACAGAGUUGUAAAAUAGCUCCGUAACAAUGAAAGGUUGCUAUAACCUGGAAGCGCCUGCUAUAUGGCACACUCAGAAAUCUCUUUGGUCCAUUCUGACAUCUUUAACAAUUUUUCCCUAUAAUUAUAACAUUUACUAGUGUUUAGUAUGCCUAGUACAGUUAUAAACACACUAUAUAUCUUAACUCCGUAAACUCGCUAAAUUAUCUUUAUUUUACAGGUGAGAAAGCUGAGGCAUUGAGGUUUUAAAAUGCUCAUGGCAAAAUGGAAGAGUCGGGAUUUGAAAAAAAUAGCACGUAUACUAUCCUAGCUAUAUAAAAUUAUACAUACAUAUAUAUAUAUACGCACACAUAUACAUAUUCACACAUAUUAAAACAAGGGAAUUUGAUCUUUAUCACUAACUAAUGAGAUGUCUGUGCUUUGUGUUAAGACAAAAAGGGAAGGUGUGGAGUAAUGUGCAUAGAAUUAUUUUAUUUCUGUAAAAACAAACUAUCCUGGAUCAAUAGGAGCUCUCAUUUGCUGCUGGUGGAAAAGCAAAAUGGUACAGCCACUUUGGAAGACAGUUUGGCAGUUUCUUACAAAACUAAAUGUACUCUUAUCAUGUAAUCCAGCAAACUUUCUCCUUGGUAUUGACCCAAAUGAAUUGAAAACAUGUCCACACAAAAACCCGCACACAAUGUUUAUGGCAGCUUUAUUCCUACUUGCCAAAACUUGGAAGCAACCAAGAUGCCCUGCAGUAGGUGAACGCAUAAAUAAACUGGUAUGUACGGACAGUGAAUGUUAUUAGCACUGAAAAGAAAUCAGCUACCCAGACAUGAGAAGACAUGGAGGAACCUUAAAUGCAUAUUACUAAGUGAAAGAAGCCAAUCUGAAAGGCUGAAUACUCUAUGAGUCUGACUGUAUGACAUUCUGUAAAAGGCAAAACUAUGGAGACAGCAAAAAUAUCAAUGGUUGCCAGGGGUUGGGUGAGGGAGGGAUAAAGAAAUGGUGCACAGAGGUUUUUAGGGCAGUGAAACUAUUUUGUAUGAUACUACAAUGAUAAAGACAUGUCAUUAUACAUUUGUCAAACCCAUAGAAUGUAUAGUAUACAUUACAUUACUGUACUUUGCAACUAUAAUGUAAACUGUGGACUCUGGGUGAUAACGAUGUGUCAAUGUAGGUUCAUCGAUGGUAAAAAAAAAAGCCCCACCCUGGCGGGGGAUGCUGAUAGUGGGGCAGACUGUAUAUGUGUGAGGAGAAGGGGAUUUAUGAGAACUCUCUAUAAUUUCUACUCAAUUUUGUUAUGAACCUAAAACUGCUAUAAAAAAUAAAAUAUAUUUUAAAAAAAG
ensembl:lncRNA